rnacentral:rRNA from 1 species
UUCCGGUUGAUCCUGCCGGACCCGACUGCUAUCGGAGUGAGAUUAAGCCAUGCGAGUCUAAUGCCUCUAGACUGCUGGAGGCAUGGCAUACGGCUCAGUAGCACGUGGCCAACCUGCCCUUAAGACAUGAAUAACCCCGGGAAACUGGGACUAAAUCGUGAUAGGCGCGGAUCUCUGGAAUUGAAUCCGUGUUUAAAGGGGUGAAUGAGCAUGUUUUGUUCAUCUGCUUAAGGAUGGGGCUACGGCCGAUCAGGCUGUUGGCGGGGUAACGGCCCACCAAACCUUUGACAGGUACGGGCUUUGAGAGAAGGAGCCCGGAGAUGGACACUGAGAUAAGGGUCCAGGCCCUAUGGGGCGCAGCAGGCGCGAAACCUCCACAAUGAGCGAAAGCUUGAUGGGGUUACUCCGAGUGUUGUCCGCUAAGGAUGACUUUUCUUAAGUCUAAAUAGCUUGAGGAAUAAGGGGAGGGCAAGUCUGGUGUCAGCCGCCGCGGUAAUACCAGCUCCCCGAGUGGUCGGGACGGUUAUUUGGCCUAAAGCAUCCGUAGCCCGUCCUGCAAGUCUUCCGUUAAAUCUAACGGCUCAACCGUUAGGCUGCGAAAGAUACCGCAGGACUAGGGGACGGGAGAGGCGGACGGUACUCCGGGGGUAGGGGUAAAAUCCUCUGAUCCUCGGAAGACCACCAGCGGCGAAGGCGGUCCGCCAGAACGUGCCCGACGGUGAGGGAUGAAAGCUGGGGGAGCGAACCGGAUUAGAUACCCGGGUAGUCCCAGCCGUAAACGAUGCGAGCUAGGUGACAGAAUGGCCUAAGGGCCAUUCUGCUGCCGCAGGGAAGCCGUUAAGCUCGCCGCCUGGGGAGUACGGACGCAAGUCUGAAACUUAAAGGAAUUGGCGGGGGAGCACCACAAGGGGUGAAGCCUGCGGUUCAAUUGGAGUCAACGCCGGA